UGCAAAGCGUGUUGGAGAAUGUGUUUCCAGC
rnacentral:piRNA from 1 species